rnacentral:rRNA from 1 species
GAUGAACGCUGGCGGCGUGCCUAAUACAUGCAAGUCGAGCGAACAGACGAGGAGCUUGCUCCUCUGACGUUAGCGGCGGACGGGUGAGUAACACGUGGAUAACCUACCUAUAAGACUGGGAUAACUUCGGGAAACCGGAGCUAAUACCGGAUAACAUGGUGAACCGUAUGGUUCAACAGUGAAAGACGGUCUUGCUGUCACUUAUAGAUGGAUCAGUGCCGCAUUAGCUAGUUGGUAAGGUAACGGCUUACCAAGGCAACGAUGCGUAGCCGACCUGAGAGAGUGAUCGCCGACACUGGAACUGAGACACCGUCCAGACUCCUACGGGAGGCAGCAGUCGGGAAUCUUACGCAAUGGGCGAAAGCCUGACGGAGCAACGCCGCGUGAGUGAAGACGGUCUUCGGAUCGUGAAACUCUGUUAUUGGGGGAGAACAAAUGUGUAUGUAACUAUGCCCCUCUUGACGGUACCUAAUCAGAAAGCCCCGGCUAACUACGUG